rfam:Schistosoma haematobium scaffold442_3, whole genome shotgun sequence.
AUCCAGCUGACGAGUCCGGACGAAAUGCACAUCCUGGAU